CGCCUCUUGCCCCCCCAUAAGAGGUCCAGCCUGCCCAGUGACAUGAUUCAACGGCCGCGGUAUCCUAACCGUGCGAAGGUAGCGUAAUCACUUGUUCUCUAAAUAAGGACUAGUAUCAAUGGCACCACGAGGGCUACACUGUCUCCUUUUUCUAAUCAGUGAAACUGAUCUCUCCGUGAAGAAGCGGGGAUAAAUUUAUAAGACGAGAAGACCCCAUGGAGCUUAAAAUUUAAUGUACACCUCUUAGCCCACAUCAACUUAACCAAAGACAACUGUACAAAAAUUUUAGGUUGGGGUGACCACGGAGUAUAACACAACCUCCAUGACAAACGGGCAAACGCCCUUAUCUAUGAGCCACCGCUCUAAGAAUCAACAAUCUGAUGUUUUAUGAUCCGAUAACUCGAUCAACGAACCAAGUUACCCUGGGGAUAACAGCGCAAUCUACUUAAAGAGCUCCUAUCGACAAGUAGGCUUACGACCUCGAUGUUGGAUCAGGGUAUCCUGGUGGUGCAGCUGCUACUAA
rnacentral:rRNA from 1 species